GGCCGCGUAGUUCAACUGAAUAGAAUAUCAGAUUUCGGCUCUGAGGGUUGGGGGUUUGAAUCCCUCCGCGGUCACUA
rnacentral:tRNA from 2 species